UCUGCAUUCCAUCUGAGGUACCGGGUUCA
rnacentral:piRNA from 1 species